rnacentral:rRNA from 1 species
AGAGUUUGAUCCUGGCUCAGGACGAACGCUGGCGGCGUGCUUAACACAUGCAAGUCGAGCGGAAAGGCCCUUCGGGGUACUCGAGCGGCGAACGGGUGAGUAACACGUGAGUAAUCUGCCCCUUGCUCUGGGAUAGCUCCGGGAAACCGGGAUUAAUACCGGAUAUGACUGCGGCUGGCGUCGGCUGUGGUGGAAAGUUUUUCGGCUGGGGAUGAGCUCGCGGCCUAUCAGCUUGUUGGUGGGGUAAUGGCCUACCAAGGCGACGACGGGUAGCCGGCCUGAGAGGGCGACCGGCCACACUGGGACUGAGACACGGCCCAGACUCCUACGGGAGGCAGCAGUGGGGAAUAUUGCGCAAUGGGCGGAAGCCUGACGCAGCGACGCCGCGUGCGGGAUGAAGGCCUUCGGGUUGUAAACCGCUUUCAGCAGGGACGAAGCGUGAGUGACGGUACCUGCAGAAGAAGCGCCGGCUAACUACGUGCCAGCAGCCGCGGUAACACGUAGGGCGCGAGCGUUGUCCGGAAUUAUUGGGCGUAAAGAGCUCGUAGGCGGUCUGUUGCGUCCGCUGUGAAAUCUCGGGGCUUAACCCCGGGCCUGCAGUGGAUACGGGCAGACUAGAGGUAGGUAGGGGAGAAUGGAGUUCCUGGUGUAGCGGUGAAAUGCGCAGAUAUCAGGAGGAACACCGGUGGCGAAGGCGGUUCUCUGGGCCUUACCUGACGCUGAGGAGCGAAAGCGUGGGGAGCGAACAGGAUUAGAUACCCCCGUAGUCC